GAGUGGACCUAUCCCUCCUAUUCUAGGAAAUUUGACCUACACGGAGAAAUUGUGCUAUUGUGACCUCGUUUCUUGCUCAAAAUUUAAGACCAUUUGACCAUCCCUUUUGGAUGAUGCAGUUUUAGAGAGGAUCUUUUGAUCAUGCAGAAAAUUUUGUCGAACGAGUCCCUUUCUUUUAAUAGGACUGAUUGCUUCUUUCAGAAUGGCUUAUUCCGUUUGUUGCUCUUGAUGUGAGAAGUCAAGACAAGCAACUAUCAGUGUAGAUGCAAUGCUGGAGAUCUUGCAGCACUCAGUUGAGGAAAAGGUAAGGUCAUUUAUGCUAGUUCAUUAUUUCAACCUUUUGGGUGUAAAUGCAUUUUGUGUAGGCGUUGAACAAUGAAGCCGAAUUGCCAUUUUGGUCACUUUUGUGAUGUACUAGAUUUAUGUGAAUGGCAGUAGCAGUAUCUAUUGUGGGAUUGAAUUUAUGUUUAGCUGGCAAUACUAUUUUAUACCUGCAGAACUGCCUGAAGUAAGCAUGUAGUUUGACCUUUUUUUUGGAUGGGCUGCAUUCAUGUAAUCUUCUACUCACUUUUGAACAUAAUAGGUUUUGAUUCAGGUUGCCUCCUUAACUCAUUGAACUGAAAAUUAACACAAGUAAUAAGUUCUAGAUAUAU